AUUGAACGCUGGCGGCAGGCCUAACACAUGCAAGUCGAGCGAGCGGCGGACGGGUGAGUAAUGUCUGGGAAACUGCCUGAUGGAGGGGGAUAACUACUGGAAACGGUAGCUAAUACCGCAUACCAUCCGAUGUGCCCAGAUGGGAUUAGCUAGUAGGUGGGGUAACGGCUCAACUAGGCGACGAUCCCUAGCUGGUCUGAGAGGAUGACCAGCCACACUGUGACUGAGACCUGGCCCAGACGCCUACGGGAGGCAGCAGUAGGGAAUAUGGGACAAGGGGCGCAAGCCUGAGAGAGAUAUGCGGCGUGAGUGAAGAAGGCCUGCGGAUUGUAAAGCACUUUCGGUGGGGAGGCGUUACCCGCAAAGGAAGCACCGGCUAACGCCGUGCCAGCAGCCGCGGUAAUAC
rnacentral:rRNA from 1 species